rnacentral:tRNA from 2 species
GCGCCCGUAGCUCAGUGGAUAGAGCACUGGUCUUCGGAACCAGGUGUCGGGGGUUCGAAUCCCUCCGGGCGUG